UACGGAGGGGGCUAGCGUUGUUCGGAAUUACUGGGCGUAAAGCGCACGUAGGCGGCUUUGUAAGUUAGAGGUGAAAGCCCGGGGCUCAACUCCGGAAUUGCCUUUAAAACUGCAUCGCUAGAAUUGUGGAGAGGUAAGUGGAAUUCCGAGUGUAGAGGUGAAAUUCGUAGAUAUUCGGAAGAACACCGAUGGCGAGGACGACUUACUGGACACAUAUUGACGCUGAGGUGCGAAAGCGUGGGGAGCAAACAGG
rnacentral:rRNA from 1 species